ACGUGCCUGAUGCGGUUGCUGAGGGGAACGAGGACUCUCUUGGGAACCGAGCUAGAGGCCUUUCAGGCCACCUUAUGGCAAAGAACCUGGCUACAUUCUGCCUGUGUCCUCAAAAGUAGAUGAUCAAGUCUGAUUUUAAAGAGUAAUGAGCUGCCUUCUUCGACAUAGGAAAUUUCAAGACAGGAGGGCAUCCAGGGUGUGGUGCGGUUACUGUUCGCUGCCCUCGGCCGGUGGUCUGGUGAGAGGCAGAGCAGAAAGACUAAAAGAAAAACCAUGAGCAAACAGACACAAGCAAGCGAGCAGCAAAGCCUGUUUGUCUAGGAAGGAAGAGUGUGCAAGCCUCGUGUCUCAGGCCAGGCAGUGUGGAGAAAGUAGCGGUAAUUGUUGAAGGUGCUAAUGCCAAUAAAGAGAAGCCUCCAGCUCUUCAGUGGAACAACAGACAACACGCCCUGAGUGUCGCUGAGGAUACUGAAGAUGCCAGGAUGCCAGGACAGUGAACAUCCAUCAAGGAAAGCUGGAGUCACCGAGUGGAGCUAUCCUAUGCUACAGGAUGGCCGCUGUUUAUUGGAAGAGUCUAACUUGUUUUUCAUCUCAUUGGGCCGCACUGAGAUGACUUUUAGGGCUGCUGGCAUCGCUUACGGGCGGACAUCUAGAUAAACAUCACUGCAGCGAACAUCUC